rnacentral:pre_miRNA from 1 species
UAACAUCGGUAGGAAGGCCGGCCCCCAGCCUGGGCUGGGCAAGUAUCUCUUUGAAAGGCUCAUCCUCAAGCCCGACUAGGAGU